GUAAUGAUGAGUGCUUGGUGUGAUGGGGUGCUCCGUGUCACCUGGGGCUCAGAAGCAGUAGUCAGGUGGGGAAGCACGACAGCGAGCAGAGCACAAAUUACCUUGCAGCAUGGUGUCAUGGCCCAGGAGAGCUUCUGCUUUGCUCCCACCAAGCACCUGAGCUGGCUCCAGAGCAGGCCCCUGAUGCGGGGCCAGUGGCAGCACAUCCCUGGCCUCAGAUAACAGGGGCAGCACAGCUCGUGAGGAGGAGCGCUUGGCGGCAAAGCAUUGGCAGGGCAGAGGGACAGCGGUGAGGGCUGCUCCCAGCCCCAAGCCCUCACCAACCAGCCCUGAGUCAUGCUCUGACAAAUGUCAAGGUUCCUCAUGAUGCCCAUCUCGGCGAGGGAGCUCUGCAGAUCACAGAAGCUCAGCAGUCCUUCCUGUCCCAGCCUCAUCGAUCCGAUGCAGCGGCUAUGGAAGAAGAGCAGGGAGGCACAGGAGAGCCUGCACAUCGCAGCAAAACUCUGGUUACCUGGUACAGAUCAGCCCCUCCUUGCUUCUGGCAAGCAGAUUUGUUGCUAUUUUGCAAACCAAACAGCAGGUCCAGCCCCUGGGGAGCUGCUGCUGGAUCACACAGCAGGUUGUCCCCGAGCCCAGCAUACCCUCCUUGCUGACCCACUGCCUCCACUGCUUGUCUGCAUCAUGGGGAAAAAGGAGACAGGACUAAAGCUUCCCCCCUACCAGUUUCCUUCAUGGCCCCUAAGGCUCACAGUCUGCUUUCUGCAAGCAGACAGGUUGUGAUUUCCUGCUAUUCUCAUGGGAACCAGGGCCUAAAGGGAAUACACCAGCUGGCGAGUGCCCAGCCCGUGGCACUUUUGUCCCCACGAGGUCUCCAGCAGCUUCAGCUCAGUGGCGGUGACUGCAAUGCACCCAGGUGGGCUUUGCAGGUCUCUUUCCUCCGCAGUGCAGUCAGCGGGGUGCAGAGCAAGUGGACAGGAUGGGGGUGGCCUGGCAGGUGGUGGGGAGAGGCACACGAGCCCCAGCUCAGCACCCCCAGGCAUGCUUUCUUUGGAUAAACUCAGUGCUGUGUGGGUCAGCCCCUUCCCUCCACCCUGCCCUGCAGCACCUGCCUGUUUGGAUGCUGGUUGGAUGCAGGUCACUUUACAGAGGUGCCAGCCAGAUGCCUUAAGACUGAGGGAAAGCCAAGACAAAGCCAAAAUAAUGCAGCUGGCUGCUUUAAUUUGCAGGAAGAGCCAGGCAGCAGCAGACUGGUUCACGGGCGAAUCUUUCCUGCUGUAUCAAGCAUAAAUUAAUCAGGUAUUCCAUUUCCUGAGGGAAGAAAAAAAAGAGCAGAAUAAUUCACUUAGAAAUAAAGACUAGAGCCAUUUUUCCCUUUGACA
rnacentral:lncRNA from 1 species